ACCGUAGCUAUGCUUGGACCAAGCAGGUGUCCAGGAAAAUGAAUCUAGUGCUUGGCCCUCACUGGCCCUAAUGCCAGCAUCUGCAGUCAGAUCAAUGGAUAUGCCAGGCUGUGUGGUGGGAGGCACGUGCUGAGCAGUCAAAAAUAAUUGCUGCCAAGGCCUUGAUCCGGAGGAGACACAGGGCAUUAGGAACGUCACAGGCAGAUAGGAGGAUAUUUCAGGCCCAAAGAGAGCUGAAACCAACCCCUCAGGUUUGUGAAGCCUUGCCUGCUCUGACAAUCUCAGACUCUCCUUGAUGGCAGAAUAUGACCUUGAACUUCUAUGCACUGCCACACCCUGUUUAUACUGAGAGGAUCCAACAACCCAAGGCUUCCUGCACAGAGCACGCCACCCCAGACUCUUACCUAAUUUUACAGGUUCACCCUCCCUCCCACAAAAGAAGAAAAAAAAAAACCAAGUCCAAUUUGUGUUGCCCAUGUACUCACUGGGACAUGGUCAAACUCCCAGUGGCCAGCCCCUUAAAGAACACUGAGCUUCCCCACCGGAAGUCAUCAGCCGUGAAGCGUUUUACUCCAGCAACUUUAUCACAGAUGUUAAGGACUUUCUUCAAUAUCUUCCUUUCUUUCCUUUCCUUUCCUUUUCUUUUCUCUCCUCUCCUCUCCUCUCCUCUCCUCUCCUCUCCUCUCCUCUCCUCUCCUCUCCUCUCCUCUCCUCUUCUCGAGGUGGGAUGAGAGGUUGUCACAAAAGCCUUCGCCUCUCAGUCACAGUUAUCAGUCUGCAGUCAUCCAAACCACCACAAAAGAAGCUCCUUGCCCCCUAGAAGCCAGUGGCAGCAUGGCUCAUGGACUUCCUCAUGGUUUCCUGUGGCAGGACAGACCAGGGACAUCAACACAGCCACUGGCAGGACCAAGGUGGAGAAAAAUGCAUACUGCAAGGGCAUCUCUGGAAAAGGGCUUGUCUGUAUUGCUAAAGCAAAAUAUCUAUUUGUUCUAUGACCCAGUUGUUUCUUUCCUAAAUACCAAGAGUGUAAAUGUUUACAGGCAGAAGAUUCCUGACUUGUAACAGAGUUACAUCCCUAAAAACCCAAUGUAAAUUGAAAAUGUUAACAGGCUGAACCUCAUAGCUUAGUAACACAGCUUGAUGUUGAGUUGUUUCCUUUCAUCAUCAUGUGUUUGGGAGGAGCAAUAACCUGAAGUUGCUGUCCAGCUCUGUGGGAACAUUUCAGUGCUUAAAAAAAAAAAAAAAAA